ensembl:snRNA U6 U6 spliceosomal RNA
AUGCUUAUGUUGGAAGCAUAUACCUUAAAAAUGGAAACGAAUAAAUAGAAAAUUAGCACGGCCCUGGUGCAAGGAUGACACACAGACUCCAUGAAAGAGUGUUU